CUAGACUUCCAUGCCGCCAGCAUGGAGGACAUCCUGGGUUGCACAUAAAUUUUUUCUUAAGAUGGACCAGGAUAAGAAGUGUGAAGAACUGGUGCCCACUAACCGUUGAUCAGCCGGUCUACAGGCACCAUUGGAGGGGUGACCGGCAAUAAUGUCCAGCAGGGCAGUCCUGUAGGUACCGGGGAUCCAACACGUGGCAGGUGGCAGCAAGUGCCGCUGCAGCUCCGCCUCGACACGUUGAAAAGAAAAACGGUUAUUGUUCUGAAUGAAUGUUCUCAGUCAACUUACCAGAGCUCUGAUGCUGCAGACUACAAGUUCUGGGUCUAAAGGGAGUUCAUAUCUCUGGGGUGGUGGAAAAUAUGGAUACAUCUACCUGUGAAACAAGAUCUCUGCUUGUAUCAUCCAGUCAAAAACCUUGACCCCAAAAUGACUGUGUGGUGUACAAGUCCAGGCAUACAUGCGAUUGACAUUAACAAACUGGACUAGAACAUAAAACAUUUUACUGGUUAAGGGUCAGGCUGGUCCUCAGUUUCAUCAAUCCUGCCAGGCUGUCCACCCAAUCCAUUGCUGGUAAGUUGUGUUCAUCUACUGCUUGAAAGUUUGUCAGCACUUAUUUCAAAUUGAACAAUGAUUUUGCUGUAGUUUCAGUGUAUAUUAUCUACAGAGCCUCUCCUUUCUCAUUGGUAAAUAUUCAUGAUAUAGGUUGUCUCAGUGUUCAAUACAAAUCAAAAAUGAUUUAUUACUGUAAUGCAGACCGUAUGUUGGGUGCGUUAUAUGUUGUUCCACUCACCCACUAGUGAUUUCUGUUCAUCAGAUUUGGAACCCUUUUUGCAUUAGCAGUUGUAAAAGUGCAUAUACUCUAAAAGGAAUGGGUACACAGUGACUAUGAAAAAAUCUGGGAACAGAACUUAGGAUGUAUUCUUGUAUUCAUGUAUUCAUAGAAAUUCAUAAGAAUACAUUACCUUUUUUGGGCCAAUACUUCUGCAUUUUCCAAUUACUGGCGUCAGUAAAUACAAGUAGGCUGAGUCUUUUAGCAGAUCAGCUGCACAACCAGGUGGACAAAGACAAGGGUGGCCAGGUCACCUAUCCUCACUGUGUAGAUAUGCAACACAACCAGGUGGACUUUGAGCGAGGACAACUAGCAGACAUCAGGUCAGGUACAGUG